CUUGUACUCCCUCCGUCCGAAAAUACUUGUCCGAGGAAUGGAUGUAUCUAGAUGUAUUUUAGUUCUACAUACAUCCAUUUGUAUCCAUUUCUACGACAAGUAUUUCCGGACGGAGGGAGUAUACA
rnacentral:pre_miRNA from 1 species